GGAGGGGGCGAGCGUUAUUCGGAAUUAUUGGGCGUAAAGGGCGCGUAGGCGGCUUGGCAAGUCAAAGGUGAAAUCCCUCGGCUCAACUGAGGAACUGCCUUUGAAACUGCCUGGCUUGAGGCCGGGAGGGGGUAGCGGAAUUCCCAGUGUAGCGGUGAAAUGCGUAGAUAUUGGGAGGAACACCAGUGGCGAAGGCGGCUACCUGGACCGGUUCUGACGCUGAUGCGCGAAAGCGUGGGUAGCAAACAGGAUUAGAUACCCUGGUAGUCCACGCUGUAAACGAUGGGUGCUCGGUGUCGCGGGUAUCGACCCCUGCGGUGCCUUGGCCAACGCGUUAAGCACCCCGYCUGGGGAGUACGGUCGCAAGGCUG
rnacentral:rRNA from 1 species